AUUGAACGCUGGCGGCAGGCCUAACACAUGCAAGUCGAACGAUUGGCGGACGGGUGAGUAAUGUAUGGGAACCUGCCUGAUAGAGGGAGAUAACUACUGGAAAAGUUGGCUAAUACCGCAUACCAUCGGAUGUUCCCAUAUGGGAUUAGCUAGUGGGUGGGGUAACGGCUCACCUAGGCGACGAUCCCUAGCUGUUCUGAGAGGAUGAUCAGCCACACUGGAACUGAGACACGGCCCAGACUCCUACGGGAGGCAGCAGUGGGGAAUAUUGCACAAUGGGCGCAAGCCUGAUGCAGCCAUGCCGCGUGUAUGAAGAAGGCCUUAGGGUUGUAAAGUACUUUCAGCGGGGAGGCGUUACCUGCAGAAGAAGCACCGGCUAACUCCGUGCCAGCAGCCGCGGUAAUAC
rnacentral:rRNA from 1 species